GCCGUCACGCGUCUAGCGCACCUUCAGUUAGCGCCUAGAUACGCCACUGCUGCCGGUGAGUGAUGAUGAUAGUGAGAAAGUCAUCGGCAUAUCUCAUGAUCAACCAUUUGGUGAGUACCAUCGAUAGGAGCAAAGAGGAGGAGAUAAAAAACAAACUGAUGGGCAGAACAAAUGAUAAUGUAAUCAAAAGUGCAUGUUCAUUGCGAACCUAAGCUUAUCUUCCUAAUUCUGCGAUUAAAUUAAUUUUGAAUUCGUCUUAGAAGACUAUUAGUAUAAGUGCUAGCUGUUAGAAUCCUCGUGAAGCAGUUGAUAUCGGUUUACCUCUAUCAUUGGACCUGAUAGUCCAAUUAUCAAUUAUCUAUCCUGCUCGAUCCCGUACUUGUGUACAUUAGCCCAAUAUUCAAUAGAACGGUCCUAUUAGAACAUGAAUGCAACAUAACCCAUCCAGUGCACCCCAUCGGUAAGAACAUCCUAGCUGAUCUUUAGCUUUAGUUAAUUACUAAGCAAUUACACUACUUAUUAGAUCCCUAAUUGAAUGGUUAAUACGCACGCGACUAAAACAUCAUCCAACGAUUAAGCGAAGGGACUAAACGUAAGUAGUUAAAAUUGUAGUAGUUUUGUAUCCCAAACUCACAUCCAUAUCACGAUCAGGGGUUCGCAAAACAAUGCGUACGGAGCCAAUUAAGAUUUUAUCGAACUGGUGAUAUCGAUUGAGUCCAUUAAUACGAGAAACUAUUAGGUAUGAAGUUAAUAAGAGCUCAAAUGUUGUCCAACAGGAAAUUAUAUUCUCCCAAUAUCGAACUACUGGCGUUUCAUUUGCCUGCAACCGGAGAAUCAUAUUUCGGAAAUCGUUCCCGUUGAAACCGUGUUUCAACAACUAGUUUACAGCAUUUUUGAACUCGGUAAGCUGAUGAUUGUUUUUGGUGUAGAAUCAUGCCCUGAGUUCGAAAACGCGAAGGAAAAAAAUUACAGUAGAGCGGAAAUUUUUUCGACUUUCCAUACAAGGUUGAUGAUUUGAAAUCGAUUUUUGUUCUAUUUUUAAGCAAAGUCGCUCACUUCAAACAUCUCAUUCUCCGUAGUCAAUGCUCCGAUUGAGCUGAAAUUUUUACUGUAAUUCGCCUACAUAUGAUAUGUUAAAUUAACGUCGAGAAAGAAUUUUUAAGUUGGUUUUUCUAAUUGAAAAAAAUACAUUUCCUCAAAAAAUUUUGGAAAUUUUGCUAAAAUUUAAGAAGAUCAUCCCUAUAACUCGCCAAAAUCUUGAAUUUCAUCAAUCUGAUGCAAAACCUGUAUUCAGAUGUUCGAAUGGUAUUGUAUUCAGCUUUUAAUUUAUGGAAAAAGAUUUAAAAUUGGUUAAACAAAACGCAAUAUAUUUGAAUUUUAGUAAAUUACAUAUUUUGAAAAGUUGCAAAACUCGAUAUUGAGCUAAAACUCAAAAACUGUUCUACUUAAAAUUUUUUGAACGUCGGUUUCGAAAUUAGCACUAAAUUGUGCUUCAAAAACUUUGGUCGUUGACAGAAGUUCACGACUUUCGUUUUAUUUUGUAAACU